ACAAACUGCCUCCAAAGUAACCGAGGCACUUUGAACCAACACACGUCAGACACCUCUCGUCAGCACCGCCCGAACAAUGGCUCUGCAAUAUCCCCCUUCGUCCUUGUCACAGACGUGCAGCCUCACACGUAGACUGCAUGUGCCUUUGGCCACACUGAAGGGCGAACACACUGCAAUAUACAGACGCAGACGUGUUCUGAUAUGUGAUAUAUAUAGAUAUAUCUGCAUUAACGGACAGCUUAAAGACAAAAAAAACUUUUAAAAUUGUAUCAGUGUGCCAGGAACAACGUGCAACACGCUGCAAUUUCAGCAUCGUCGAGACGGCGAGAGCAAUCACUGCUGUAGAGUUCGGAGAACAGUCCAGUGACUCUGGAGAGGAGUUUGGAGACAGACGUGCGCUUCACCUGUAUUUCCACCGCACGAGCCUUGUUCCAGUUUUUCAGAUGGGAAACAAAGGAUGUUGUCGGGAUAACUGUGUUGUUGACCUAAGCCGAUUGGUCAGACACAAGCCUCCGGAGUGAUCCGUGUCAAUCUGAAACCAAAGCGGCUGAAAACAGCACUGACAAAGCAACCCCAGUCCUCUGGAACCAACACCAUUAGUCCAUGCUGGAGCGGUGGGGGGAGAAGAAAAAAAUUUGCUGCCCUAGAUUCCGAACUUGUGGAUACGUAAAUAAUGGAUAACUUCUCAUGCCAUCCAAGAUGUCUGACAUAAUUACUGAACGUGCUCUUAAAGGGAAGGGUCAGAUUCCCAGCCCAGAUACCAGUUGAAACACUUCGCUUUGGCAAAUCCCCGCUCUCUCGAACCCAUUUAACACACACACACACACACACACACACACACACACACACACACACACACACACACACACACACACACACACACACACACACACACACACACACACACACACACACACACACACACACACACACACACACACACACACACACACACACACACACACACACACAAUUUGACCUACUUCUGAUAUAGUAUGUGUGGUGGGAGAGGAAAUCUGACCCUUCACCCACUUAUUACACUAAUCACACAUCACCAAUGAUCGUCUCAGUGGUAAAGUUCCUGAACUGACAUGCAAAAGGAAAAUGAAGACAUCAUUACACAGCGACUUGACUUUAUGAGGGAUUUCACUUGUUCUCUUCCCUGCUUUACUCCCUCUCCGGUGUCGAGGCUCAUUUAAGGCAGCCAUGAAUCACGACUACCGGUGAUGUCAAAGAUUAUUAGAGUAAUUUGAGUAUUUUGUAAUUCAAAGCCUCAUUUAUAUCAGAUUAAGCCAUCUCCAUUGAGCACUACGCCAACUCAAGGGCAAAUUAAUUUGAGGAGAAGAGCAAUUAAAUCAAAACCAAGCGUGUGAGCGCAGAUGUGUGUGUUUUGUUUCCUCUUUUUGUGCUUUGAGUAUUAUUUUCCCUAUAUCAUUAAUUCCAUGGUUAAAAAUAGACAACGUGAAAUUUAAAGCCAGCUGGUGGUCCACAGCAGUCGCACGGUCGAAUCACUUGGAGGGCUUUAUUCUCCAACAUUGUAAACGGUGAAACGACAUGUGAACAUGUGGUGCGCCGAUCCACGCACUGCAUAUGGUGACAUGUAAUAUACAUGGGGAGGGGCAGGGCUCGAGCCACAUGGC